UACCAGAAAUUAUUUGUAAAAUAACACCUAAGGAUGGUUUCAGGCCUGUUGACUUGGUUUCAUGGCGUUGACCACCAUGUGUCCACGUGCGCCGAUUUACCCCCUUCCCUUCUAAUUUUUUUACCAUUUCUUUCCCUCCAACUCUAUUUUCUCUCUCCACUCAAUUUCUUUCUCUCUCCUCUCAAUUACUUCGCUCUGUGUUGCUGCUCACAUCACCAUUAAAAGCUUCUAGAAGUUGCUCGGCCAUGGCAGUGACAAACUGAAUGCUUCAAUUCGUGGUUUAAAUUUGGCCAAGGAAUUGGGGGAUAAAAGGAAUGAUGUGGCUCCAAACCAUGCUGCUUCUUCAGGGAAAAUUCCUCCUAUCCUUGCUGUGAUAAUCCUUCUUGACUCGCAACUAUACUUGUUAUGAUGUGUGCUACUUGGUUCUGCAGGAAAAAAUCGUCUUUAAAAACAUAACGUUGAACAUAGUGUAGAAAACUAUGAGAUUCACACAAAGUAUUCGUUAGAACUGCAGCUCAUGACUACCCUUCAGGUUGGAUCCCCCCUUAAGGCAUUAUCAUGUUGAAUGUGGACGCUAAUAAUUUGGUCUCUAGAUCACAUGUUGGGUUGGGGGUGGUUGCGAAAAAUGAGCUUGCAAUUGGGCAAUGUUGCUUGCUUCAGUUAAGAGGUAUGAAGUGCCGUGGGAAGAAGAACAAACAACACACUUGUCCUUAAACCACUUUUAAUGGUUUUCUCUUACAUAUCAACUUUAAUUUUAUAAAGUUUGCCUUUGAAUUAUUUUUCCAACAGAACAAACAUGAGGAGUUUUUUCAAGGUCUUUUUUUCCAUUCGUGUUAUGUUAGUGUGUGGGAUCGUUGUGCGGUGCUUGUGA